GCAGCUUUUGCAAACACCUGGCAGUCGGCAGCUGUAACAGCGACUCCUUUUCCCGCUCAGUUUCCCUCCUGACGGAGUUUGCCACAUCAACCGCUCCGCGGCCAGUUUGUGCGUGAUUUCGCGCAGCGGCCGGGGCAGCCAGCUGGCCGGCGAGAGCCAGGCAGGCUGCAGGCAGGAGUCGCCGCGCUGCAGGACACCGAGGCCGAGGGACUGGGGGAGAAAAACAAGGCCAUAAACUCUAUAUGGGAGGGAGGAAAUUCCCCGCCUGAGCGAGAUUCCAGCCCCCUGGAAAAAAGUAAAAUAAAAAAGCCUCGUGCCAGAGAGAAAGAGAGAAAAGAGCGCGGAUUAAAGAAAGAAUGCGGCUUGGUGAUCCAAACCGCAAACACUUCUUCCUGGCGCUGACAUAUAUUAUGCAACAUAAACAUCACCUUUCUCCAGAAUUCAUCCACAGCUGUGAACAAAGCUUUUACUGGUGUUGAGAAGAAAUGGGGUGGAGGAAAGUCCCCCUGCAAAAAAAUUCAGCAUGGCUGGUGUACAAGAAGAGCUCUGUCUCGGGCGGCAAAAAGUGUGCAAAAUAUAUAUCCUGCAAUUUUUUGCAUAAGUGUUCUGAGGGCGACUAGCAAGAAGAUAAAUGGCAACAAUCAAAAUAAACCAAGCAGCCAGACAACAAAUAAAGCAUAAUACAGCUAUAAAAAGAUUACACAGUCAGAAUGGCAAACAAUAUAUUUUUAAAGCCAGCACUCCUAUAGAGAUUUGUAGCUUAGGGUGGGCCUUCUUUAUCCAACUUCACAGAAUGUUUCUUGUGUACAAUACUCAGGUGUGGACUUCUCUGUACCCAAGAACUUUGUUUUCUCUUUACUUCUCCCUACCCCUUUCCCCAAUACUCCCUUCUGUUUCCCAGUUCAAUGAGUCCUAACUUAACAGUGCAAUGUUAACUCUGUGUACUAAGAGACAACUCUCACUUAAUCCAAUAGGACUUCGUGCUCAGAUAAGUACUGUACACUUAACUUCAAGGUAAGGGCUACCCACUCAGUGGGACUUGCCUGUUGGUAAUCAUGGUCAGGACUGGGCUGAAUGUUUAUUUCCAGCGUAAGUUAUCCAGUGCUAUAAUACUUGUGCAGCAGCUCACUUUGCUUUAAGUCAUUUCUUUUAAGAAUUGGUGGAAUCCACAUAUGCCUUAUGUGCUGCUUCAGGAUCUGAUUUGUUAAAAUCUCUUCAUGAGCACAUCACACAAAGAGAGUUCCCAUAAUACAGUUCCCAAAUAUCUCCCUUGGCAGGACGCCUGCAGGACUCACACACAGCCCUCAUGGACAUCACAGCAGUGAACUUCAGUGGCUAACUUAACUCCAUAAACCCAUCAGGCUCCCUGCCCCUCCAUCCCUUACAGUCUCAUUCUCUGACCAGCUGAAGCCAGAUCCUAUUUAGGGCAAAGUAAAAGUUUGAUUCAGCAUCCAGGAUGAGGCAGAUUUAGAAAAGGAAGGACACAGGAAGGAGCUGCUGACCAGCUAGCCAUUCCAGAACUUGGGGCAGUGGCUCUCUGUCUAGCAGCAGGUGCAAUGUCCCUAAUGGCAUCAGCUGUAAGGUAGGAGCAGCUCCUGCACUGCCUUUGCUCACAUGAGCUUGCCCAGAUGUUGGGUCUGCAUUAGAGGUCUCUCUCUGAGCGACUGCACCUAUUCAAGUUAGAUGGGUUGCAACCAAAGAGAGGACAUUUUCAGCAUUGUGCUGUCCUGAAUAAGGAAUGGUUUUUUUUCCACCCAGCAUCAAAAUUGCUAUGUUCUGGCACAAAGCAAAGACAUUUUGUGUGCUCAGAUUUUCCAGGAUGUCAUCUAACUGGUUUUGUAAUUUGGAUAUUUUUACUGUUCUCUAAGGUGGUUUUUCUUUUUUAAAAAAAAUAUCUCUGAAUUGUUUUUAAUGCUCUGCUUUGGCAUUUUAUUAUUGCUGUUUGGGUUUUGUUUUAUCUUUCUCUGAGCUUCUCUGAGAAUAUUGAAACUGUUUGAAUUGAAACUGAGGUGGCAUGCAGACAUUUAAAUCUGUAAAUAACAUGCCUCAAUUUACUUAGGGUUUUUAAAGAGGCUAAGGACAGAGGUAUUUCAAAAGGUUUUAAAAGUCAUUCUACCAUAGGCAAUUGUUGUAUUAUUUGAUUGGAAUUCUGAACACCUCUGGUGGGCAAAAAGUCAGGAUGUAAAUAGGGCUAUUAGUUGAUCAAAGAAAUUUUAGUUGAAAUUGUAUUAGCUUUAAUAUCAAAUCAUAAUAAAUUUGUGUAGGAAUACAGCAAACCAGAAGAAAUAAAUAUUAUUCAUUUAAUUGUGAGCUAUUGAGGCAGGUAUGGUUCCCUCCCCAGCCACCCAGCCACUCAUGUGAGAGAAGGGAUAUUGUCUUUUCUAAGAUG